ensembl:lncRNA
UUUUUUUUCCUUUUCACAAGUAGUCAUUCACCUAUUUUAUUUUAGAUCAUCGGAUCCAAGUUCUGCACCAGAAGCAUAUGAUGCAUGAACAUAAACUUUCAGAAAAACAAGAUGAAGUGUUAAGCACACCCAUGACUAUGACAGACGUAAAAGUUUCAGGGCCAUCUGUAAAAACACAGUUAUUACCAAGUGGAGUGCACAUUGAUGUGCAAGAGAUGCGAUCUUCUAACAGUGUGACAACAGAAGCAGCUCAGGUUUCUAAGAGUUCUUCAAUGCUGAUUAUUAACAAGCUGCAGAAGAUUUUCCCAAAUAUACUUUUGGACACUCAGACAAAAUAUAAGGAAGUGGAUAAUGAAAAAAAAGAAGACGGUAAAAAGAAAAGGAUGUUGUUUCCUGAUUUGGAGCAAGAUAAAAAUACUGGUAAUAACAAAGACAGAUUAACAAGAACUAAUAUUACUAUAAGAUUCCAUUCCAAUGAUAAUUCAAGCCAAACUCAGAUUGAUAUUUACAAUUUAAAAAAUUCAAGAGCGAAUCCUGAGGUGCAUAUUGUCGCCAGCAAUAUUAUUGACCAACAAAAUAAAAUAAAUUCAGUAGUAGUACAAGAUGAUGUUUUGCAAGUGACAGUAAACAGUUCGCUGGAUAAGAAAAUACAGAAUAAUACAAAAGUAAGAGAAAAAAGUCUUGCAAAAAUUGAGGCUGGAAAUAUGGAAAGAAACUCCACAGGUAGCAACAGGAAAAAACUUCUUAUAGCAGAUCUGCCUGAGUCUGCUACUUAUCCACAUCGUCAGUUGAACCGUAUUUUACAGACGCUGGAAGAUCACAUGGGUGUUCAAACAUAUAAUUUCCAAGGUGUAAAAGAAAACCAAUCUCAAGUGUCAGUGAGAAUGCUGAAGAAUGUAUUACAGGACUUACAGAAAGAAUAUAAAACACAGGUGCCUUUAACAGGUAGUGAGAGUAUGAACUCUUCAGUCAUGGAAAACAUUCUUCAAAAUUUAAAAAAACAUAAAGAGAAGUCAGAAUCCAGUGAAAAGGAAAACAAGGCACAGACACCUUUUGAGGGACAAAGUCGCAGUCUACAAGUCUCAGAUGAAAAUAUAGACCAAUUUAAAGUAACACUUGUGCCAGAGCCUACAAGUGUCACAACAAAGGCAAACAUGAAAGAUGCCAAACGAUUUGAAUUUUUUAAAGAGCAUGAAGGUAUUCAUGACAAGAAAAAAGCAAAAGCUGCAGAUCUUAAAGGCCUUCUAAAGCACAUUAUCAUAGCCUGUGUAGCGGUCACUGGUUUGAUAUUGGCUGUAAUAGUGUUGAUGCACAUAUUUACUUCGAUAUUUGCGAAGAACAAACAGGAACCAGUAAUAACUAAUACUUACAACAUUUACAAAAGAGAAAACCCAACAAAAGAUGAAGCCAAAUCAAUCACAGAAAUAGACUGCAAAGAACUGAAAAAAGACGUUGCUGUAGUGAAAAAUCAGUCUGAACAUAGUAACCUGAAUCAACUACCACUGCACUUAUCAACAGACAAAUCUAAAGAAAAUGGUCAAGACUUAGAACAUUCAGAAAAACAACCAGACCAUAAUACUUCCUCCAUUAACUCUCCAUCAAAAAGGAUUGAUGAAAGAAAUAUAAUUCUGUCAACAUCAACUGAACCUUUAGAGUGUAACCACUCUUCACAAAUGCCCCCUGACAAUUGUUCAUCUUCAGAAAUGAAAACAUGCAAGAACCACAGAACUAGACCUAGAACUUUAAAAACAAAUCAAUCUUGUUGUCACAAACCAAGACAACAUUGUACAGAACCAAAAGAACAUGGUUAUAAAAGACUACAGGAUAAAGAUACCGCUCUUCACAGAAAGCAUUUAAACCAUCAAAGAUCAUCUAGGCAUGACAGACAUAGAUCAAAGUCCACAAAAUGUAAUACAAGUCAUUCAAACUGUUCACUUCUAGAUGGAUGUUGUCAUGACUCAAGUCCUAGUGAUGAUUCUUCAUCAGAUGUAUUCAUUUCUUCAGAUACAACUGCAAAAACACAUCUAUCAGAAAUAUCCCAACAUGAUGGUUCAAAGUGUACAUAUUCUCAGCACAGAAUGGGUUCUUGUAGCUCUGAUUCAUAUUCUGAUUAGAACAUUAGUAGCACUCAAAGGAGUAAACAUUAUCAUUCUGCAUGAUCAGUGAUAUCCAUCAGCAUGUAGUACCAAUCAUUUUACCACGUGUGAUCAUGAUAGUCCUGGGUGUUAUGGAGGUUGUUUUCUUUUGUAAUCAUGCUAAUAAAUAAAUAUUUUUAUAUUAGGCUUCUGUACUU